UGUAGCUGGCCCCAUCCGGGCAUGUGCACGCCUUGCUCAUUCCAAUUCUACACCUCUGUGCACUUAACAUGGGUUGGUUGCGGCUCGUCUUUCGGGAUGGGCUUGACCGCCUGUGGUUUUCUACAAACUCAUAUAGUAAUAGAAUGUAAUCCGCGUAUAAUAACGCAUCUUAUACAACUUUCAGCAACGGAUCUCUUGGCUCUCGCAUCGAUGAAGAACGCAGCGAAAUGCGAUAAGUAAUGUGAAUUGCAGAAUUCAGUGAAUCAUCGAAUCUUUGAACGCACCUUGCGCUCCUUGGUAUUCCGAGGAGCAUGCCUGUUUGAGUGUCAUGGUAUUCUCAACUCCCUAAAUCUUUGCGGAUUUUGGGGGGAGUUGAAUGUGAAGUUGAUGGCUGGCGGGGGCUUUAUUUGGCGUUGCCGGUUCCUCUGAAAUAAAUUACCGAAAAGGUUGCCGGGCCACCCUCAUGGGGAUAAUUGCCUAC
rnacentral:rRNA from 1 species